rnacentral:rRNA from 1 species
GACAGAGGGUGCAAACGUUGUUCGGAAUUACUGGGCGUAAAGCGCGUGUAGGCGGCCCUGCAAGUCGGGUGUGAAAUCCCACGGCUCAACCGUGGAAGUGCACUCGAAACUGCAGGGCUAGAGUCCUGGAGAGGAAGGUGGAAUGCUUGGUGUAGAGGUGAAAUUCGUAGAUAUCGGGAGGAACAUCAGUGGCGAAGGCGGCCAUCUGGAUCAACACUGACGCUGAGGCACGAAGGCGUGGGGAGCAAACAGG